AUAUUGGACAAUGGGCGCAAGCCUGAUCCAGCCACGCCGCGUGAGUGAAGAAGGCCUUCGGGUUGUAAAGCUCUUUCAGACGGAAAGAAAACGCUUCCCCGAAUACGGGAGGCGGAUGACGGUACUGUCAGAAGAAGCACCGGCUAACUACGUGCCAGCAGCCGCGGUAAUACGUAGGGUGCGAGCGUUAAUCGGAAUUACUGGGCGUAAAGCGUGCGCAGGCGGUUGUGUAAGACAGGUGUGAAAUCCCCGGGCUUAACCUGGGAACUGCGCUUGUGACUGCACGGCUAGAGUACGGCAGAGGGGGGUGGAAUUCCACGUGUAGCAGUGAAAUGCGUAGAUAUGUGGAGGAACACCGAUGGCGAAGGCAGCCCCCUGGGCCGAUACUGACGCUCAUGCACGAAAGCGUGGGGAGCAAACAGG
rnacentral:rRNA from 1 species